rnacentral:rRNA from 1 species
GCAAGAUACCACGGGCGCACGGCGGAUGCCUUGGCACAGGGAGCCGAUGAAGGACGCGGCAAGCUGCGAUAAUCCCCGGCGAGGAGCACACAUCCUUCGACCCGGGGGUCUCCGAAUGGGCGAACCCAUCCACAGAGGUGUGGAUAUCCCCACCCCGAACACAUAGGGGCGGGGAGGACAACCCGGGGAACUGAAACAUCUAAGUACCCGGAGGAGAGGAAAUCAAUCUCGAGACUCCCCGAGUAGCGGCGAGCGAAAGGGGACCGAUGGCCAAACCGUCGAGCGGGCGUACCCGGCAGGGGUUCCGCCGACGGGGUUGCAGGGCCGCGCAUCCGGGGGCUGCCGCCCCCGGGCGCAGGUCCGGCUGGGGAGCGGAACGGCAUGGGAGGGCCGGCCGCAGCGGGUGACAGCCCCGUACGCGAACCCAGACCGGACGGCGCGACGCGGUCCCUGAGUAGGGCCGGGCACGUGAAACCCGGUCCGAACCUGGGUGGACCACCAUCCAAGCCUGAGUACUACCCUGUGACCGAUAGCGCACCAGUACCGUGAGGGAAAGGUGAAAAGCACCCCGGGAGGGGAGUGAAACAGUACCUGAAACCGUGCGCCCACGAGCAGUCGGAGCACCCUUGUGGUGUGACGGCGUGCCUUUUGUAGAAUGAGCCAGCGAGUCGCUGGCGCGGGGCGAGGUUAACCGAAAGGGAGCCGGAGCGAAAGCGAGCCUUAACAGGGCGACUUGAGUCCCGCGCCGCGGACGCGAAGCCGGGUGAGCUAUCCGUGGGCAGGCUGAAGCGGGGGUAAGACCCCGUGGAGGGCCGAACGCACGUCGGUUGAAAACGGCGGCGAUGACCUGCGGAUAGGGGUGAAAGGCCAAUCAAACCCGGAGAUAUCUCGUUCUCCCCGAAAUAGCUUUAGGGCUAGCGUCGCGCGUUCACCGCCGGAGGUAGAGCACCGGAUGGACGAGGGGGCUUCGCCGCCUACCGAAUCCAACCGAACUCCGAAUGCCGGCGGCCCAGAGCGCGGCAGUCAGAGCAUGUGGGCUAAGCUGUGUGCUCGAGAGGGAAACAGCCCGGACCGCCCGCUAAGGUCCCCAAGUUCCAGCCGAGUGGCAAAGGAUGUGCGUCCGCCCAGACAACCAGGAUGUUGGCUUAGAAGCAGCCAUGCAUUCAAAGAGUGCGUAACAGCUCACUGGUCGAGUGGACAUGCGCCGACAAUACACGGGGCUAAGCUGGACACCGAAGCGGCGGGAUUUUGAUUUUCAGAAUCGGUAGGGGAGCUUCCCAUGGGCGGUGAAGCCGCCGGGCGACCGGCGGUGGAGCGCAUGGGAGUGAGAAUGCUGGCAUGAGUAGCGAGAGACGAGAGAGUAACUCGUCCGCCGUGAACCCGAGGUUUCCUGGGCAAGGCUAAUCCUCCCAGGGUCAGUCGGGGGCUAAGGCGAGGCCGGGAGGCGUAGCCGACGCGCAGCAGGCAGACAUUCCUGCACCGCGCACGCGGCGCUACGACCGACGGGGCGACGGAUGGGGGUGGCUCGGCGGGGUUCUGGACGUCCCCGUGAUGGAGCGCGGCCCGCGGACCAGGGAAAUCCGGUCCGCAGGAGGGCGAGGCUCCGGACGAAGCGAUUGAGCGAAGCGAGUGAGCCCGAGGUCCCUAGAAAAACCCCUAGGCAGGCGCGUGCGCGCCCGUACCGCAAACCGACACAGGUGGGUGGGUAGAACAUACCGAGGCGAUCGGGUCAACCAUGGUCAAGGAACUCGGCACAAUGGCCCCGUAACUUCGGGAGAAGGGGUGCCCGCGCGUACGUGAACGGACUUGCUCCGGGAGCGGAGGCGGGCCGCAGUGGAGAGGCCCAAGCGACUGUUUACCAAAAACACAGGACUCUGCAGAAGCCGCAAGGCGACGUAUAGGGUCUGACGCCUGCCCGGUGCCGGAAGGUCACGCGGAGGAGUUAGCCGCAAGGCGAAGCCCCGAAGCCAAGCCCCGGUAAACGGCGGCCGUAACUAUAACGGUCCUAAGGUAGCGAAAUUCCUUGUCGGGUAAGUUCCGACCUGCACGAAAGGCGCAACGACUUGGGCGCUGUCUCGACCAUGGACCCGGUGAAAUUGCACUGGUCGUGAAGAUGCGACUUACCCGCGGAAGGACGGAAAGACCCCGUGAACCUUCACUGCAGCUUGGCAUUGGCCGCUGGUCCCGCGUGUAGAGGAUAGGCAGGAGGCACAGAUCCGGAGGCGCCAGCCCCCGGGGAGCCGCCCUUGGAAUACUGCCCUCGCGCGACCGGCGUCCUAACCCGAGGCCGUCAACCGGCUCGGGGACCGUGCCAGGCGGGCAGUUUGACUGGGGCGGUCGCCUCCUAAAGGGUAACGGAGGCGCGCGAAGGUCCGCUCGGGACGGUCGGCAACCGUCCUUUUGAAUGCAAGAGUACAAGCGGGCUUGACUGCGAGGCCCACAAGCCGAGCAGGUGCGAAAGCAGGCUCUAGUGAUCCGGCGGCCCCGAGUGGGUGGGCCGUCGCUCAACGGAUAAAAGGUACUCCGGGGAUAACAGGCUGAUCUUGCCCAAGAGUCCACAUCGACGGCAAGGUUUGGCACCUCGAUGUCGGCUCAUCGCAUCCUGGGGCUGGAGCAGGUCCCAAGGGUACGGCUGUUCGCCGUUUAAAGCGGUACGCGAGCUGGGUUCAGAACGUCGUGAGACAGUUCGGUCCCUAUCCUCCGUGGGCGCAGGAGAAUCGAUGGAGGCUGCCCCCAGUACGAGAGGACCGGGGUGGACGCACCUCCGGUGAACCGGUUGUCGACCAACGGCACGGCCGGGUAGCCGCGUGCGGCGCGGAUAACCGCUGAAGGCAUCUAAGCGGGAAGCCGUUCCAGGGAUUAGUUCUCCUUCCGGUAAGGGCCCAGGUAGACUACCUGGUCGAUAGACGGCAGGUGCAAGGCUGGCGACAGCCUCAGCCGAGCCGCACUAAUCGCCCGAGCUCUUCC